rnacentral:tRNA from 1 species
GCCGAAGUGGCGGAACUGGUAGACGCGCAUGGUUCAGGACCAUGUGGGCGUGAGUCCGUGGGGGUUCGACUCCCCCCUUCGGCACCA